UACGGAGGAUGCGAGCGUUAUCCGGAUUUAUUGGGUUUAAAGGGUGCGUAGGCGGGCUUUUAAGUCAGCGGUAAAAAUUCGGGGCCCAACCCCGUCCGGCCGUUGAAACUGGGGGUCUUGAGUGGGCGAGAAGAAGGCGGAAUGCGUGGUGUAGCGGUGAAAUGCAUAGAUAUCACGCAGAACCCCGAUUGCGAAGGCAGCCUUCCGGCGCCCUACUGACGCUGUGGCACGAAAGUGCGGGGAUCGAACAGG
rnacentral:rRNA from 1 species